GGUAUUUGUUUUCCUCUUGCGGACUUACUUCACUCUGUAAGACAGUCCAGUCGUUCUUUUAAGUGUGGCAGGGACCCACCACCCGAGGAAGGAGGCUCGCUGGGGUGGGGUCUGUGGGGCUGGACACCCUUUCCCAGCCUCUGAACAUCGGGGUGUGGCAGACCCUGUGGGUGAUGGGUGGACCUAGGAUCUGACAUGGCCGUCUUUCUGGUCUGGUUCACACGGGCAGUGGGGUCAGGGUCUGUUUCUGAGUCUCAUUACCUGCAAAGUGGGUGGGGUCUCGAUUCUCAGGGAGAUGUAGGGGGUGUGACAUCAUCACACAAAGCCUCAUGUCAGGUGGGUGUGGUAACCUUGGCUCAGCACAGAUGUUGAUUCGGGGGUCAAGGUGCCAUCUGACUCUCAGCAGGACUCGGGACCCUGUGGGGGGCACCUUCCUCCCAGCCCCCUCCCCACCACUCUCCCCAGAGCAUGAGUUCUUUGAGACACUAACACAGCCCAGUCGCUGUAAAUGCUUUCAUUUUUUGCCCAGUCUUGAGGUCUUCAAAUGUGUAUUGAUGGUCAUUCUCUUAUUCAAAAUGUCCAGUCACCUGAAUCUGCUCAUUGAAGAAUCAACUUCCUCCCCUAGAAACUAGACACUUCCAGAAAAACGUUAAAAGUUUUCCCAGACAUGUCCAGGAAAUUCUCUCUUUGGCAUUCAAAAAAUAUUUUAGAGUACUUGCCAAAUCACGUACGUGGGUCACGUGAAAACACCCAGACCCCCACCUGCUGAGGGAGGUCCGCACAUGGACCCAGCACCUUCCCUGCUCAGCCCCCGGGCCUCCAUCAUUUCUGCCACUCUGUUUCCUCCUUCGAGGUCAUUUUUGCUGACCUCCUCAUAGGGACAUAAUUAUUGUAAUCGUGGUGAAAUGAUGGAUCACGAGCAAAUGCUUGUAAUUUAACAUUUAGCAACUGCAGCCGGCAACAUGUAAUUAUGACGUGAAACAGCCCGGAGAGUGCUGGCUGGCCCCAACCCAAACACCUUCACGCAAUCACCUACUUAACCUAAUCUGCUGGCAUGUUUGCUGUCUGUGCGGCAGUGAAAAGUGGGAGGGAGAAGUGAGGGGCUCCUGCCGGUCUGCCAGGUGUGUGCACGGGGUGAGCAGUGAAAGACAGUGCCGGGGGUAUGAUUAUCCCCGCGCCCUCAUCGCCACCUUGUCCAGCCUGGCCUUAGCAGCAUCCCACUCUGCCAGGUGCUGAGCUGUGGUGACCCCACAGCCGUCACACCAGCAGGAAUGUCUCUGUACCCGGAGUCCCCUGAGGCAGCGCCCCUUGGGGGAGAAGGACCCCAACCCCGCACCACAUAUUUGUCUGUUAUCCUCCCGGUCCAUGACGCUGAACCGUGGCUGGACGAGUGCUUGGGGUCUGUUUUGCAGCAGGACUUCGAAGGCUCCAUGGAGCUUUCCAUUUUUAAUGAUGCCAGUAAGGACAAGUCUAUGACUAUCAUUGAAAAAUGGAAAGAGAAGCUGGAAGGUUCCGGCAUCCUUGUGGUCAUUGGAGGGCACGAUUCUCCUUCUCCUCGAGGAGUCGGAUAUUCUAAAAAUCAAGCCAUAGCACAGAGCUCAGGAUCUUACCUUUGCUUUUUGGAUUCGAAGAUCUUCUUGGCUGUAGACUAUUAUUUCCUUCAUUUGCAAGUGGUCUGUCCUGCCCCUCACCCAUCCUGGGCGUUGGUCAUCCCUGGGAGUCCACAGACUCGCUCCCUCAGGACCACCCUCCACUCAGAAGCUGCAGAACUCAAAGAUGACGACGUGAUGAUGCCUCAGAGGGUGAGGCUGCAACACGCAGCUGCUGUGCGACACCCAGCAAGUAUCAUCGGUUGCCAAGUGAGGAGGGAGCCCCCCAACUCCACCGAGCGAUACACGCGGUGGAUCAACCAUCUGGCGCCCGACCAGCUGCUCACCCAGGUGUUUACCUCCAAUGGCCCCACCGUGAUCAUGCCCACCUGGUUCUGCUCCCGAGCCUGGUUCUCCCACGUGGGCCCAUUUGACGAGGGCGGGCGGGGUGUCCCCGAGGACUUGCUGUUCUUCCACGAACACCUGAGGAAGGGCGGCGGGCUCGUCCGCGUGGACCAGAGCCUGCUUCUCUACCGCUACCACCCCGGCGCGGCCACACACUCCAUCCUCGAGACCACCAUCUGGACCCACCGCGUCCGCUUCCUGGAAGAGUGGGCCCUGCCCCACUGGGCAACCUUCACCAUCUGGAAUGCGGGCCGGCAGGGCCGCCGGCUCUACCGCAGCCUGACGGCAGGGUCACGGUGCAAGGUGGUCGCCUUCUGCGAUGUGGACGAGAACAAGAUCAAGAAGGGCUUCUACUGCUACGAGGACUCUCAGGAAAGGCCCAAGCCCCGGGUCCCGGUCCUGCACUUCCGAGCCGCACAGCCACCCUUUGUCAUCUGCGUGAAGCUGGUGAGUGUCAGGCUGGGGCAUGUGUGGCUGGGACAGCCCCAGGGUCAGGAGGUGGUAUGUUGUGUCCACCAGGAAGCUGUGGGCUAGGAUGGGAGGUGAUGACUGCCGCUCUGGGGGGCCAGGAGAGUGAUCCGCAUGGGGGCAGGGACAGGAGACAACAGGGCCACCUCCAGCCAGGCCCGGGGUGUUGGGGGAGGUGGCGGCGAUGGUGCCCCAUGAGGCAGGUUGCAUUUCCCAUGAGAGCUGCAGGGGACAAGGCCGCCCAGAAGCACCUGCGCCAGCCCUGCAUCCCCCCAAUCCCUGCCAGGUGACUGCCGUCCCAGCGGUUUUCUCCAUCAACCCCUUGCCUUUUCUAUUUGCGGCCACGCAGGACAGGUGCUCGUUUCUUGGCUCUGGGCCCAAUGCUGGGGUCCUGCAGAGAGGCCCGUGUGCUUGAACUCCCUCCUCCCCUGAGUGGGUCCCGUUUCCUGGUGUGCAAGUUCCCACCACGAAGCCUGCUGGUGGGCUCUGGUGAUGGGGACGUUCUCCUGAUUUUGGAGCCCUCACCCGCGCCCUGCUGGCCUGUCCAUCUCUUCUCCUUGGUUUCUGGGAGCUCUGCAUUGAGUGGUGCUGGCCCUUGGUCGACUAGUGUUUAGAUGUUUUCUCCCAGUUGUGACUUGUCUUUUCACAGGUUCUUCCCAGAAAAACUUAAUUUUAUUUAUUUAUGCAUGCACGCAUGCAUGCAGCGCUGGGUCGUGGUUGCGGCAUGUGGGAUCUUUUAGGUGCGGCAUGUGAACUCUUAGGUGCAGCAUGCCUGUGGGAUCUAGUUCCCCGACUAGGCCCCCUGCAUUGGGAGAGUGGAGUCUUACCCGCUGGACCACCAGGGAAGUCCCGUGAAAAGCUUAUUUUUAACACAGUACAUUUAUCAAUUUUUCUCUUGUGAUGAACACUUUUAGUGUUCUCCUGUUUUGGAAAUUCCUCCCCGCGGUCAGAAAGAUUAUCACAAAUGCAAGUAUAAAGUGUCCUUAAUCCACCAGGACUACAGGGCCCAGGUUGGCUCAUGUGGAGCGGGGCUGCCCCAAAGGGUCAAGAGGGGACAGUAGUGGAUGGGUGAGCAGGUCCCUGUGCUGUGCCACUGGGGACGUGGGAUGACGCAUAGUUGGGGACACAGGCCACUGCUUCCAGCAGUUUCCAGCCUCUGAGGUUGAAACCUUGGUAAACAGGGUGCCAGGCCAGAGGCCUUCCUGAAGGCAGUGGCUUUAGCGGAAGGGAAGCAGGUGCAUGUUCAUUUGCCAGCGUUCGCCAACAGCAGUGGGGAACCAAGCAGAACAUGCCUCUCACCCCACAUCACGUGCAGACUCUCACCAGCCUUGGGCUCAGGGAGCCUGCGGCCCCUACGCAUGUUCAUAGCAAGGGUGGCUCCACGUGUACGUGGAGGGUGCCAGAGAAGGGGGGAGCCCUCUGUUGGUGGCUGUUUUUAAGAUCCCAGACCCCCUUCUGCACUGACUGGUGUUACUCACAGCUUCUAACUGCGGUUUGCCGUGUGGCCCAGGCGCCUGCACAGGGGCCCCACCAGGCCAGUGCAUCCUGAUGGGGAACGUCACCUCCCUGAGGCUGUGCUCCCAUGGGGCCCGAGCUCAGACAUGGGGGACAGCGGGCGUUGUAGAGUGUUGGUCAGGUGGGGUCCCAUGCAGGACCGGAGAACAGGCUGGAUGUCCUGAUUCUGCCCCUCACUCGAGUUGCCACUUUGGAGAAGUCACCCAACUGUCGGGAAAACGGGCGUGAGAACAGGCUGACCGCAGGAGCCUGGUGCCAGGAGUGGCCUCAGGGUCCCAGCUGGUCCCUGCAUGGCCAGGCCCAGCCCUGAGCUCCAGCCCCACAGAAACUGUGAGGCAGUAGAGGUGUGGUUUCCUCUGCUCAGUUGGUGGAGACUUUGCACGGUCAUAGGUGAGCUGAACACUUGGACCAGAACAGAAUCUCAUGGGCACAACAGGCUUUGUCAGUUUGAAUGAGGCCGUGUGAAAAUUCAGGUCAGAUUUCCAUGUGGACGUGUUUUCAGUUCUCUCGGAUGCAGAGCUGGGGUGGAAUCACUGGUCUUAGGAUGACUUAUGCCCCCCCACCCCCCGCUGCCCAAAGGUUCCAGUUUCUCGUAUCCUUGCCCACCUCGUGACAUGUUUGUUCGUCAAGGCCAUCCUGGUGGAUGAGUGGCUCUCACAGCGGUUUCCGUUUGCGUCUCCCUGACAACAGAGGACAUGGAGCAUCUGUUAGCCACGUGUCUGCCUCCUGUGGAGAAGUGUCUGUUCAGGUCCUUCACCCGUUUUCUAAUCGGGCUGUCUUUUUGUUGAGUCCUCAGAGUUCUCUAUAUUUCUAGACUCAAGUCCCCAACUGGAUGCAUUGGCAAAUAUUUUCUCCCAUCCUGUGGGCUGUCUUUUCAUUCUCUUGACGGUGUCCUUUGAUGCACAAAAAGUGCUUAACUUUGACAAAGUCCAUUUUAUCUAUUUGUAAUUUGAUUUCUGUUUUGGGUGUCAAGGCUAAGAAACCACCACCCAAUCUAGAGUCAUGAAGAUUUACCCCUGUACUUUUUUCUUAAGGGUUUUAUGGUUUCAGCUCCUUCAUGUAGGUCUUGGACCCAUUUUGAGUUGCUGUUUGUGUGUGGGGUCAGGUAGGGGCCAGCUUUGUGCUUUUGCAGGUGGCUGUACACUGAGUGUCCCAGGGCCAGGCAGCCGGGUGGCUCCAGUCCCAACGUGUCACCUUGAGGUUUUCUUCUGUUUGACUGCUUGCCAGCUUGAACCUGCAUUACUUAACCGUCACUACAUAACAAACUACAAACUUAGCCUCAAACAGCACAUGUUUACUUCCUCACGUUUCUGUGGGUCAUAAGUCCAGGCACCACAGGUGGCUUUCAGCUUCAGGUGAGCGUGGUGGUGUCUGCCGGUGAUGAUGUCUCAUCAAGAGGCUCGCCUGGGGCAGACCUGCUUCCAAGCUCUUAUGGUCCUUGGCAGGAGUCAGAUCUCCAGGGUGUUGGCCGAGGGCCUCAGUGCUUUGCCGGCUGUUUGCUCUGCAGGCCCGCCAACCAUGGCAGCUUAUUCUAUGAAAGCCAGCAAGGGGCAGGGGCAGUAGCAAGACAUACGUCACACUAACGUGUGACCUAAUCACAGAAGUGACAUACCAGGGAAGGGGGUUCCACGGGAUGUGGGUGCAAUGAGGCAGGCUCGUGGCCAUCUGGGGCCUGCCUGCCACAGGGAUAGACCCACCUGGCUUUGGGUUUCCUGGUUUGAAAGCAGUUUCCUGAGAGGCCAAGACAAACAGUGUUCAAGUUGCCAGGGGAAUUGGAUGAAUGAUUAUGGGGCUGCAAGGAGCCGUUGUAAAAUGAAAGUUUUAAUUCUACACAAAUGAUACCUAGCUUUUCAGAGAUAGGCUCUCUUAAGGGUCUACUUCUCAGGGACCCGAAGUUGCCACGAAGGGAACACCCCCACCCAUGCAAACCCUUCCCAGAGAGCAGACUUUGGGUGGGAAGGAACCCAUCCCUGUCACCCACUUUGUUUCCUUAGAGGGCCUAGGGGUAGAAACACAAAGGUGUAUGUGAUUUUUCUUUUUAACAAACAGCAGCAUGUCAUACAUACUUCUUUAUUUCGCUUUUUUCACAUAAUAGUAUAUCUUGGAGUUAAUUCCAUAUAAAUCCGCUGGUGCCACCCAACUCUGUUAUCUUUUUAUGAAGGAAACUUUCCAGCACGUUUCAGCCAAAGCAAAGAAGCCAGCCCCAAGCCCCAACUCCCCCAACCUGGGAGUGAGGCAAAUUCUAGCCUCAUUUCUUCAUUAUUGUUUCCUGAAAAGAUUAAAAGCUAAAAAAUCUACCAUAAUACCACUAUGUCACCCAAAUUUCCAGAUAUCCCAUCAGUGUUGAAAUCUCUCUAACUGCCUUGUAGACAUGUUCUGUCUUUUCAUACUUGCCUGUUGGAAUGCAGACCCAGUGUGACCUUCGUCUCCCUCACUUUCUUACAAUCUGUUUGUUGACGAAACCGGCUUGUGGUUUAACGUGUUUCCCGAGGCUCAGGUCCAGGGUCCGUUCUGCUCGCAGGAACACCUUCAUCGCUGGCUGCAGGAGCUUCUGAGGGAUUCAUGUACCUCACUUAAAAAACAUCUGCAUCCCACGCGAUUAUAUGGGUGUUACAUACAUUUAUUAUCCAGUUACUUAUCGAUGUACCUUUAGGCCAGUUUUACUGUUCACCGUUAGGAAUAAUGCUGCCGUGGAUCUCUUUAUAUGUGCAUAAUUUUGCUCAAGUGGCUACACAUAUGGGAUAAAUGUCUGAAAGGUGCUGGUCAAAGAAUGUGCCCGCCAUCAGUCGUGAGACCAGCCAUUCUGUCCCUGGAGGCUGAGCCAGUUCACACACCCUGCCCCCACCAUGACCCUUCUCCAGCGCUGUGACCAAACCUUUCACCUUUGCAAACUACAGGUGAAAAGCAGUAAGUUUAUGGUUCCAGUUGGCAACGUCAUAUUGUGAGUAAGGAGGGCAUCUCUUCAUGUAUUUGUAUUCAUCUUUAUUUCCCUUUUGGUACCUUACCCUUUUCAUUGGCCCAUUUCUCUAUUGGUCUCUGUAGUUUUCUUUAUACAGUAACAGAACCAAACCACUGUCUGUGAUGUUGCAGAUUUUUCUGUGUCAUUUAACUGAAUUUAUAUCUUUUGCCAUUUAGACGUUUGUUAUUUGGAUAUAAUCAAAUUAAUUUUUCCUUUUAUGGCUUUUGGGGGUUUUAUUCAUUCUAAGACAAUCAUUUCUCACUGUGAUAUUUAAAAAAACAUUAUCCAAGUCUGGUCCUCAGACUCCUGUUUUUUCCUUAUAUUUUUGGUACAACUGGAAUUUAUUUUAUUGUAAGAUUAUCAUAGGGAUCCAGACUUUUUUCUUUCUGUUUGGAUCCUCAGUGGUCCUAACAUCAUUUGGUGAGAAACCCUCAUCUUUUCCAGUCAGGAAAUGGCGUCUGUGUGUGUUGGGUAUGCAUGUGGAUUUGGAGCUGUUUCUGGAGUCUUGGCCUUUUUCUACGCAUCUGUCAUGCACCAUUACUGACUAUAGCUUUAUGAUGUUCACCACUGAGUAAGGAUAGUCUUCCUUCAUUAUUCUUUUUAGAACUUUUCUCACAUUUUUCUUGUUUGAAUAAACUUUAUUGUGAAUUCUUCACACCUUCGGAAAAUGGCCUAAGUGUGGCCCACCAGCUGCUUCUGUAAAUAAAGUUUUACUAGAACACAGAGGACGUAUGGCCACAAAGCCGUAAAUGCUAACCAUCUGCCCUUUAAGAAAACUCUGCGGCCUCUGUUCCAGAACCGGCUGCACAGUUUAACGGGCGAUGUGCCCUCCCCCAGCGCCGCCCGAUUCUGUACUUGCUCCGCUAAUCCGUUUGGUGUGGAGUGCAUGUCUGUGGGCCAUGUGAGAGUUGGCUGUGUUUCUGGGGGUCCAGUCUCCUCCACGUCAUGCUUGAGGCCUGCUUUCCUCUUCCCGUUGGCGCUUCGGGACCCAGCCGUGGGCAUUGCACCAGAGCUUCUCAUGGAGGGUCCUGACGCUCCUCACGGGUCGUGGGGUAGCCAUGUCUUCUGCUUCGCUAGACAACGCCCAGGAGGCCAGGCCAGGGGACACGCCCAGAGGCAGGGAGGGAGGGGUCCCUCUAGGCCUCACGACUGGACUGUGGGGUUCAUUUCCAUCUGAUCCCUGCUGAGGCCAGGACCUUUCCCGCAUCUGUCAGGCAUGUGGAUUUCCUGUGUCCUGAUGUUUCUGAUCAGCUUCUUGUCCACAGGAUUGUGUGUCUUCUCCUGACCCCAGGAGUCCUCUGUACCCUCUGGGUUCCAGUUCUUGUUGGUUUCACGUCUGACCUUUUAAAUUCUCUUAAGGGGUGUGUCCACUCAUGGACACAUGAGUACCUUCUUGGUGGCCCCUUUACAAGCCCAGGUCUGUGGCUGGGCUGGCCCUGAACCCACGUGUAUUUCCUUUGAAAACUUGGAAGCAGAGAGAUAAUGGGAGGAGAAAAUGGGGGCUAAGAACAGACAGCAGGUAGAGGACAGAAUGUGGAAAUUUCAGGUGUUUUCCAGGUAGAAUGGUUUUCAUUUAAAUACUUCUGGCAAAGCCCAGGUAACAGCAGUAAGAGGAGCAGAAACAGCCCAGGACAAGGGUGAUUCCCUGUGUUGGGCCCAAGGACAGACGGAUGACACCCAAUAGGAAGGAGUGUGGUGGUCAGGCAGCCCCUCCCACGUCCCGGCAGAGAGGCCCCCGCUUUGUUGGUUAUGGAGGCAGAAGGGGACCUGGCAGGUGGCGCUGGGACGAGGGACAGGAGCCUGCAGGUGUUUCCCGAAACCCCGCCGUGGCCCCACACAGGAGGGCGGCCGAAGCAGCACCAGUGCACGGGCCCAGCUGAAGAGUUUGGGGACCCACCUCCAAGUCCCGCACCAACAAGGGUACAGGGGAGACGUGGGCAGGGACUGCCUCCUGUCUCGGCCGUGGGGGUGGGUACGGAGCGGGAGGCGGGAGGGGCUCUGUCAGCAGCUGGCUGUUGGGUCACAGUUUCUGUCCCCAGGGCUGCCUCCCACCUGUGGCCCUGCAGAGGCCAUGGGGGUGGGGCAAGGGGGCCACCAUGGAGAUCCCAGGACCAGUCAGGACAGGGGAAGCUGGCUCUGCCCUGGACCAAGAAAUGAGCAGAAGGGACUGCCCAUGAGCCUCACCUCCUCCCCCGAGUCCCCGCGGGGGGCCAGCUGCCUCGUGCGGGGAGGGGCCGAGGCCAGGCUGGUGGAGGCACCUCAGAAGACCCCCUGCCCCCAGCCUCCCUGGUGACCUAUGGGACAUUGUGGCCAACUGCCAACAGGUUCCCUUCCGGCACUUUUCUCCUUCUGGACCCUCUCCUUUUAGCAGUGGAGCCGAAGUUCAUAGUGGACCACCUAACAGGUGGCCACAGGCAACCCCAAACCCCAGGCCCCCAAGGGAGGCUCUUGGGGUCCCCAGUGCAGGCCAGGGGAGGCCUGGAUAGAGCCAGACCUGUCGCUCCUCCCCCAGGACCUCACAGGGGGCGCAUUUGAAGACAAUCUGAGGUCGCUGCACCUGCAGGAGGGCCGGGAUUUCCUUCACUUCAGCUGACAGACCCAUGGCAGCUGCUCCCAGCUGUACUAGCUUCAGUCCAGCCGAGGUGAAUGGUUUUCUCUCAGCUCGAUGAGGAUCUCCUUCCAGUGUUAAGUCCACUGUUGCCAUCCAAGAGGGGCAGCUGCCCGGACCACCCAGUCUCCCAGCAGUUCCGCUGCAACAUGUCCAGACGUGAGCUUGUCCUGUUUGGGAUCUUGCUUCUACCACCAAGUAUGUGGCACCGUCUCCCGAGACCCCAGCUGCACACAGGGCAGGUUCUCUGGUGUCUCUUGACUUUGUUUUCAUAUUUUCCAGUUGUUUUUCUGGAUAAAACUCCUUCAGAUCUUCCAGUUCCCCAAUUCUCUCUUCAGCCAUGUCUAGGUGGUUGUUUAAUUCAUCCAUUGAGCCUUUUUCCCCCUAAUUUCCUCUUGAUAAUUUCUAACCCUUUUCAAAACUGAAUUCAUUUUAUAUUUUGUGUCUUUUGGGGUCUGAUUUUAUUAAGGUCUUGCCAAUGGUGCCUUUUUUCUUUGUGCAUUUUGUGCAAUUUGGGGAUGUGAGCUUAUGUUCUUCUCUCUGUAGGGCUCAGCCUGCGUCCUUCCAGAGAGGGUUUUGUUUGCCUCCUCUGCCCAGUGUCUGUCAAGCACCACUGGUUGGGGGCCAUUGUGAUCACAUUCCUCUCCACCAGCACUGGGCAGAGACCAAGACAGAUGUGCUCCUGUGGGGACCUACUUCUCACUCUCCUUGCUGCUGAGGGUACAGCUAUUUAGGGCCCCAGCUGUAUGUGGGGUCUGCUACGAGAUUUGGCCCUGGGCCUUAUGCUGUCACAUCCACACUUCCCAGCCAGCCUCCAGGGCUCAGCAGACAUGGAUCCUGGGGACGCCAGGGACCUGCUCACUGGGAUGGUUCCCUCUGUGUCUGGGACAUGGCCAUGUGCUCACGGCCACACCGCUGCCCUCACAUAUCCUGUUUCAGGCACGAGGCUUCUUGCGGCUCUUCAGACCCACCCACCU